CAAUGGUGACGUUUUUGGACACAGAUGUCCGUGUCGUGAGUUUCCUGGGCCAGCAGCGUGGUCGGUGACUCAACCUCAUGCCCCCGGUGG
ensembl:misc_RNA